rnacentral:rRNA from 1 species
GAGUUUGAUCAUGGCUCAGAUUGAACGCUGGCGGCAGGCUUAACACAUGCAAGUCAAACGAUGAUUACUAGCUUGCUAGUAUGAUUAGUGGCGAACGGGUGAGUAAUGCUUAGGAAUCUGCCUAUUAGUGGGGGACAACAUUCCGAAAGGAAUGCUAAUACCGCAUACGUCCUACGGGAGAAAGCAGGGGAUCUUUUGACCUUGCGCUAAUAGAUGAGCCUAAGUCGGAUUAGCUAGUUGGUGGGGUAAAGGCCUACCAAGGCGACGAUCUGUAGCUGGUCUGAGAGGAUGAUCAGCCACACUGGGACUGAGACACGGCCCAGACUCCUACGGGAGGCAGCAGUGGGGAAUAUUGGACAAUGGGCGAAAGCCUGAUCCAGCCAUGCCGCGUGUGUGAAGAAGGCCUUUUGGUUGUAAAGCACUUUAAGUGGGGAGGAAAAGCUAAUAAUUAAUACCUAUUAGCCCUGAC